rnacentral:rRNA from 1 species
UACGUAGGUGGCAAGCGUUGUCCGGAUUUAUUGGGCGUAAAGCGCGCGCAGGCGGUUCUUUAAGUCUGAUGUGAAAUCUCGCGGCUCAACCGCGAGCGGUCAUUGGAAACUGGGGGACUUGAGUGCAGAAGAGGAGAGCGGAAUUCCACGUGUAGCGGUGAAAUGCGUAGAGAUGUGGAGGAACACCAGUGGCGAAGGCGGCUCUCUGGUCUGUAACUGACGCUGAGGCGCGAAAGCGUGGGGAGCGAACAGG